rnacentral:rRNA from 1 species
AUUGAACGCUGGCGGCAUGCCUUAACACAUGCAAGUCGAGCGGGGGAGGUUGCUUCGGUAACUGACCUAGCGGCGGACGGGUGAGUAAUACUUAGGAAUCUGCCUAUUAAUGGGGGACAACAUCUCGAAAGGGAUGCUAAUACCGCAUACGCCCUACGGGGGAAAGCAGGGGAUCACUUGUGACCUUGCGUUAAUAGAUGAGCCUAAGUCGGAUUAGCUAGUUGGUGGGGUAAAGGCCUACCAAGGCGACGAUCUGUAGCGGGUCUGAGAGGAUGAUCCGCCACACUGGGACUGAGACACGGCCCAGACUCCUACGGGAGGCAGCAGUGGGGAAUAUUGGACAAUGGGGGGAACCCUGAUCCAGCCAUGCCGCGUGUGUGAAGAAGGCCUUAUGGUUGUAAAGCACUUUAAGCGAGGAGGAGGCUCUUUUGGUUAAUACCCAAGAUGAGUGGACGUUACUCGCAGAAUAAGCACCGGCUAACUCUGUGCCAGCAGCCGCGGUAA